GCAUAUCACAUAAGCGGAGGAAAAAGAAACCAACAGGGAUUGCCUCAGUAACGGCGAGUGAAGCGGCAACAGCUCAAAUUUGAAAUCUGGCCCCCUCGGGGUCCGAGUUGUAAUUUGGAGAAGAUGCUUCGGGUGCGGCCCCGGUCUAAGUUCCUUGGAACAGGACGUCACAGAGGGUGAGAAUCCCGUACGUGCCCGGUGGUCGCUCCCGUGUGAAGCUCUUUCGACGAGUCGAGUUGUUUGGGAAUGCAGCUCUAAAUGGGUGGUAUAUUUCAUCUAAAGCUAAAUAUUGGCCAGAGACCGAUAGCGCACAAGUAGAGUGAUCGAAAGAUGAAAAGCACUUUGGAAAGAGAGUUAAACAGUACGUGAAAUUGUUGAAAGGGAAGCGCUUGCAACCAGACUUGCGCGCGGCCGAUCAUCCGGUGUUCGCACCGGUGCACUCGACCGCGCGCAGGCCAGCAUCGGUUUGGGUGGCUGGACAAAGGCCUCGGGAAUGUGGCUCCCCUCGGGGAGUGUUAUAGCCCGAGGUGCAAUGCAGCCAACCCGGACCGAGGACCGCGCUUCGGCUAGGAUGCUGGCGUAAUGGUUGUAAGCGACCCGUCUUGAAACACGGACCAAGGAGUCUAACAUCUAUGCGAGUGUUUGGGUGUCAAACCCAUACGCGUAAUGAAAGUGAACGGAGGUGGGAACCCUUAAGGGUGCACCAUCGACCGAUCCUGAUGUCUUCGGAUGGAUUUGAGUAAGAGCAUAGCUGUUGGGACCCGAAAGAUGGUGAACUAUGCCUGAAUAGGGUGAAGCCAGAGGAAACUCUGGUGGAGGCUCGCAGCGGUUCUGACGUGCAAAUCGAUCGUCAAAUUUGGGCAUAGGGGCGAAAGACUAAUCGAACCAUCUAGUAGCUGGUUCCUGCCGAAGU
rnacentral:rRNA from 1 species